rnacentral:rRNA from 1 species
GAUGAACGCUGGCGGCGUGCUUAACACAUGCAAGUCGAACGGAAAGGCCUCUGCUUGCAGGGGUACUCGAGUGGCGAACGGAUGAGUAACACGUGGGUGAUCUGCCCUGCACUUCGGGAUAAGCCUGGGAAACUGGGUCUAAUACCGGAUAGGACAAUGGUUUGGAUGCUGUUGUGGAAAGUUUUUCGGUGUGGGAUGAGCUCGCGGCCUAUCAGCUUGUUGGUGGUGUAAUGGCCUACCAAGGCGUCGACGGGUAGCCGGCCUGAGAGGGUGUACGGCCACAGUGAGACUGGGAUACGGCCCCGGCUCCUACGGGGGGCAGCAGUGGGGAAUAUUGCUCAAUGGGCGCGAGCCUAAUGCAGCGCCGCCGCGUGGGGGAUGACGGCGUUCGGGUUGUGAAUGCCUUUCGCUAGGGACGAAGAGGUUUUGUGACGGUACCUGGAGAAGCAGCACCGGCUAACUACGUG